rnacentral:rRNA from 1 species
UGAGGAAUAUUGGUCAAUGGACGAGAGUCUGAACCAGCCAAGUAGCGUGAAGGAUGAAGGUUCUAUGGAUUGUAAACUUCUUUUAUACGGGAAUAAACGAAUCCACGUGUGGAUUUUUGCAUGUACCGUAUGAAUAAGGAUCGGCUAACUCCGUGCCAGCAGCCGCGGUAAUACGGAGGAUCCGAGCGUUAUCCGGAUUUAUUGGGUUUAAAGGGAGCGUAGAUGGGUUGUUAAGUCAGUUGUGAAAGUUUGCGGCUCAACCGUAAAAUUGCAGUUGAUACUGGCAGUCUUGAGUACAGUUGAGGUAGGCGGAAUUCGUGGUGUAGCGGUGAAAUGCUUAGAUAUCACGAAGAACUCCGAUUGCGAAGGCAGCUUACUAACCUGUAACUGACAUUGAUGCUCGAAAGUGUGGGUAUCAAACAGGAUUAGAUACCCUGGUAGUCCACACGGUAAACGAUGAAUACUCGCUGUAGGCGAUAUACAGUCUGCGGCCAAGCGAAAGCAUUAAGUAUUCCACCUGGGGAGUACGCCGGCAACGGUGAAACUCAAAGGAAUUGACGGGGGCCCGCACAAGCGGAGGAACAUGUGGUUUAAUUCGAUGAUACGCGAGGAACCUUACCCGGGCUUAAAUUGCAGAUGGAUUACGGUGAAAGCCGUAAGCCGCAAGGCAUCUGUGAAGGUGCUGCAUGGUUGUCGUCAGCUCGUGCCGUGAGGUGUCGGCUUAAGUGCCAUAACGAGCGCAACCCUUGUUGUCAGUUACUAACAGGUUCCGCUGAGGACUCUGACAAGACUGCCAUCGUAAGAUGUGAGGAAGGUGGGGAUGACGUCAAAUCAGCACGGCCCUUACGUCCGGGGCUACACACGUGUUACAAUGGGGGGUACAGAGGGCCGCUACCACGCGAGUGGAUGCCAAUCCCCAAAACCUCUCUCAGUUCGGACUGGAGUCUGCAACCCGACUCCACGAAGCUGGAUUCGCUAGUAAUCGCGCAUCAGCCACGGCGCGGUGAAUACGUUCCC